rnacentral:tRNA from 1 species
UUAUAUUUUAAUUAUAAUUAAAUAUUAUAUUUUAGUGUAAGAAGCACAAUAAUUUUUGAUGUUAUUAGAUAUA